UACGUAGGGUGCGAGCGUUAAUCGGAAUUACUGGGCGUAAAGCGUGCGCAGGCGGUUCGCUAAGACCGAUGUGAAAUCCCCGGGCUUAACUUGGGAACUGCAUUGGUGACUGGCGGGCUAGAGUGUGGCAGAGGGGGGUAGAAUUCCACGUGUAGCAGUGAAAUGCGUAGAGAUGUGGAGGAAUACCGAUGGCGAAGGCAGCCCCCUGGGCUAACACUGACGCUCAUGCACGAAAGCGUGGGGAGCAAACAGG
rnacentral:rRNA from 1 species